GAGUCUUGCUUUUUUCCUUCACUUCCCCCACCUUAACAGAACAGGGUCUCAACUGCUACCUCCUCAGCUGACCUACCUGCAAGCACCAUGUGCAGGACUGGAGAAUUCCCCACCCAGCACAUCACAUCUACUGCCAACAUGAACACACACCACUCAAGACCCACAGAAUCAUCGCACUACUGCUUCUGCCAUCGCCUAUGCUACGCUGGCUGCCAGGUGACUCAGAACAUACUUUAUGACCCAGUCCACUGCUGCCACUACCAGCAUCUGAGCAAGCCAUCUGGAGGCCCAAAAAUCAGACCUCUGGUAUCCACAAGUACAGGUGGCACCAUACAUCACCCUGGGGCACAAAGAUGGGGAUAUGUAACCCACCACUGUCAUCACUGGGGCCUGGAGACUGACCCACUGUCAUCUUAGUCUCCAACAGAACAGCACCACAAGACCUAAGAAGCUACAGGAAGGUGCCAUUUUCAAAGCUAACCUCUGAUAAACUGCACACUGUUCUACAGGCCAGCAGCACCAAGACUGAGACAUUGCAAAAGCUCAAGCUAUCACUGCUAGGAUGAGGAGUGAGAUGGGACCAUUCCCAUAGCCAGGGCGAAGAAGCAAGCAAGACAUGAGCUGCAGCAGCCAGUGCUAGGAAGCAAGUGCUACACUAAUGACUGUACCCCACCCACACAGAUAUCACCAAUGCAGUUUAGAGUCAAAGAAAUCGUACAAAAACUACACUACUGCAUGCACUCAGAAUUAAAGCCAAAGUACCUUACCACCACACUGGUCCUGAUAUGAUUAAGAUGUGAUGUCUUAGUCUUGCUGUUGCUGGCCUAUAGGACAAUGUGCAGUUUACAAGAGGCUAGCUUUGAAAAUGGCACCUUCCUGUAGCUUCUUAGGUCUUGUAAAUGGUGUGGGAGCCCCCUCCCUGGAGCGGCUCUGUACCUUGGUCUCCCAUCAACUUCCUAUGUCACUUUCAGGGCUUGGGAUGGUCAAGAGGCUCUCCUGUGGCUAGGAUUGCAUGAUCUGGUGGUAGGGAUGUGGGCUGCUCAAAGUCUGUCACUCACCCUUUCCUCAUGUUGGUAAGUCACUACCAGCUCCUAGCCAAGUCUGGCCAGCGAUGUUGCCUCUCUUCUUCUGUCCCCACUCUUGGUUUUUCCUGUCUCUUCUGUGUUGAAUAUCAACAUUCUGUCUUGGAUAACAUAUAUGAAGUGUGACUGUCUAUACACUAUUCCAGUUCUUCUAAGUGGAGCCAUAAAAUCCUACUCAACCAUCUUAAACCUUUCUCCCCUAUUUGAUUAGUCUUCUAUUAUCUAUACUUUCCCUUCCCUCAAAAAUUGAUAUUUUAAGUGGUUCUAAGUUAUUUGCUUUACACAUUCUUUUUAAAAUCUAUUUUUAAUUCACUUUAUUUAUUUAUUUUUCUUGUGUUUUACACAUUCUAACUCCCCAUACAAACCAUCCACUCUUUGGCUUCAGUGUUAUCUAUUUGCAGGUGACUUCCAG